rnacentral:rRNA from 1 species
GGCGGCAUGCCUUACACAUGCAAGUCGAACGGCAGCACGGGGGCAACCCUGGUGGCGAGUGGCGAACGGGUGAGUAAUACAUCGGAACGUGUCCUGUAGUGGGGGAUAGCCCGGCGAAAGCCGGAUUAAUACCGCAUACGAUCUACGGAAGAAAGCGGGGGAUCCUUCGGGACCUCGCGCUAUAGGGGCGGCCGAUGGCAGAUUAGCUAGUUGGUGGGGUAAAGGCCUACCAAGGCGACGAUCUGUAGCUGGUCUGAGAGGACGACCAGCCACACUGGGACUGAGACACGGCCCAGACUCCUACGGGAGGCAGCAGUGGGGAAUUUUGGACAAUGGGGGAAACCCUGAUCCAGCAAUGCCGCGUGUGUGAAGAAGGCCUUCGGGUUGUAAAGCACUUUUGUCCGGAAAGAAAACUUCUGCCCUAAUACGGUGGGAGGAUGACGGUACCGGAAGAAUAAGCACCGGCUAACUACGUGCCAGCAGCCGCGGUAAUACGUAGGGUGCGAGCGUUAAUCGGAAUUACUGGGCGUNAAGCGUGCGCAGGCGGU